GGAUGACUACUACACGUUGUUCAUAGCGUAGAGUUAAAUACAAGCGGAUUCCAGUUUACUUGACAAACAGUAAUCAGGCUGAAAGUGAAAGUAGAUGUGUAAAUGAAAGUAUCAAGUAUCUUAUCCACGUGUCGUUAUGCUGGACUUUGCAAUUGGAUAAUACAAUAAGAACAGACCAUGUUACCAGUAUGAUUGUCAUAUUGUUUUACUUGUAUAUAAUUUUCACGAAAAGAUUCGAUAAAUCAUCAGAACCAAGAUCUAGUAAAUAUAAACUAAAACUUCCCAAAACACCGCACCUGACUUUGUAUGAAAAGGACAUAAAAAAUCGCCAAAUAUUUAUAAUUGGGGAUGUCCAUGGAUGCCUCGAGGAACUCGAAGAUCUCUUAAUUCUAGCACACCAUGAGACUGACAGAAUUCUUCCAAUAUUCGUUGGUGAUAUUGCUAACAAAGGACCACAUAGUGUGAAAACAGUAAGAAAAGUUCGAGAACUGAAUGCGUAUGCCGUAAGGGGCAAUCAUGAAGAAAUUGCUCUCGUGCAUUAUCUGAAAUGGCGGAAUGGGGAUGUUGUUACACCUGAGAAGUGUAGUUGGACCACAGAACUAAAUGAAGACGAAGUAAAUUUCUUACAAGAGUUACCAUACACUAUAGAUAUCCCUUCUAAAAAUGUAUUAAUUGUACAUGGCGGAAUAGUACCAGGAGUGUCUUUGGAAAACCAGAAUUUAACUCAUUUUAUUUCAAUGAGGAGUUUACAAAUAAGUGGUGAAAAACUAAUCGCAUCACCCAGAAUAUUUUUAGGCGAACCCUGGGCCUCUUUGUGGUCUGGACCACGACACGUGUAUUUUGGGCAUGAUGCAGCACGUUGUCUGCAAGAGUAUCCGUAUGCUACUGGACUGGAUACACGCUGUUUAUACGGAGGUUUUAUUUCUGGCAUAUUUUUAGACAGUAAGAAGAUCCUACAAAUUAGAGCUAAACGAGUUUAUCAAAAACCUAAAAUAAAGACUGAGUAGUCAUAUCAAAAUAUCAAAGAAGUUAACUUUUCAGAAUGCCAACUUUUCUAGAUUGUUGUGAUUACAUUUUGAUUCAUUCAUAAGUUUUGCUGAGCAGCGUAUACAUUUUAAAAGAGUAUUUUAAAGCAACAUAAUCGCUUGCCGCCGCUCAAAACUUAGUUCACGGAUAUACCUAUUUCUAUGUUGUUGUUUUGAAUUUCAUUGUAAUGUAUAGUACUUAUUUUCAUUACCUCUAUUCACUUUUCCAUGUUUGAAUAUGUAGGUUUCGUUGAUGUUCCCUUAAAAUGCACCUGCACUUCUGCCAAAUAUUCUGAGUGUUUAAAUAACUGAUUUAUUUUUAACAACGUUAUGCAUCAAGCAAUAUUUUAGUUUUUCUCAUACUUAUAUCUUAAAGUUCAUAAAACAAAAACGGUGGCUAAAUUAUUUUUAUAAAUGGCUCCACAUUAUGUGACCUUGUGGUAUUAACUAUUGGAACCAAUUAGCAAAAACGUAAAUUGAAGUAUCAGUUAUAAUAUGUGGAGCAGGAUCUGCGUACCCUUCCGGAGCUCUAGAGAUCAUCCCCGAUUUUUGGUGAGGUUCGUGUUGCUCAAUCUUUAGUUUUCGAUGUUCUGUUUUGUUGUAUUUGUAUCUUUUGCUAGUUUGUUUUUGCCAUGGCUUUGUCAAAAAUGAAAACAAGAUUGUUCGCCACACCACACAACGAAGGACAACAAAAUGCAUUACAAUAUGUAUUUGUAGUUUUUGUAUUAAUUGCCAAGUAAUAAUUUAUACAAAUAAAAACAAGUUCCUUUCUUUGAAAAAAGAAAAGCAAUACGUGAACCCAAGACCGCUGACUGGUCACCAAAAAUUGUUGCUACAUUUUUGUUUGCUUUUGAAUUGAAAUAAUUGUCUGUGAAUAGAAUAAGAUAAUUAUGAUGUUAAAACACCUUUAUCAAAAAUAUGUAAUUUUGUGUAGAUUUCUGGCACAAGUCAGUUGAAAGCAAUGGUGGAUAGUUGUGAAUAGAAAAGUUUAUAUAUACAGCUACUAUCUGGAGAUAAAUUUUAAGGCUCGACUAUUUAAUUUAUUACUUGGGAGUGCACAUCAUUUUUUUCAUAAUCCUAUUGCAAAUCCCAGUUUCUGCAAACCGGAUGUCUAAUGCAAAUUGCACAAAUCAAUCGCAAUAAAUUUAAGCACUU